GACGAACGCUGGCGGCGUGCCUAAUACAUGCAAGUAGAACGCUGAAGAGAGGAGCUUACUCUUCUUGGAUGAGUUGCGAACGGGUGAGUAACGCGUAGGUAACCUGCCUUGUAGCGGGGGAUAACUAUUGGAAACGAUAGCUAAUACCGCAUAACAAUGGAUGACACAUGUCAUUUAUUUGAAAGGGGCAAUUGCUCCACUACAAGAUGGACCUGCGUUGUAUUAGCUAGUAGGUGAGGUAAUGGCUCACCUAGGCGACGAUACAUAGCCGACCUGAGAGGGUGAUCGGCCACACUGGGACUGAGACACGGCCCAGACUCCUACGGGAGGCAGCAGUAGGGAAUCUUCGGCAAUGGGGGCAACCCUGACCGAGCAACGCCGCGUGAGUGAAGAAGGUUUUCGGAUCGUAAAGCUCUGUCGUAAGUCAAGAACGGGUGUGAGAGUGGAAAGUUCACACUGUGACGGUAGCUUACCAGAAAGGGACGGCUAACUACGUG
rnacentral:rRNA from 1 species